AGAGUUUGAUCCUGGCUCAGGAUGAACGCUGGCGGCGUGCCUUAGGCAUGCAAGUCGAACGAUUGAAGCCUAGCUUGCUAGGUGAAUUUAGUGGCAGACGGGUGAGUAACGCGUAGGUAUCUACCUCUUGGUGGGGAAUAGCUCGCCGAAAGGCGGGGUAAUACCGCAUGAGGUCUUCGGAUCAAAGACCGUAACUGGUCGCCGAGAGAGGAGCCUGCGUCCUAUCAGCUUGUUGGUAAGGUAAUGGCUUACCAAGGCUAUGACGGGUAGGGGGCGUGAGAGCGUGGCCCCCCACAAGGUCACUGAGACACGGGACCUACAUCUACGGAUGGCAGCAACCGGGAAUAUUGCGCAAUGGACGAAAGUCUGACGCAGCGACGCCGCGUGUGGGAAGAAGGCCUUCGGGUCGUAAACCACUGUGGUAGGGGAAUAAGUUCUGAAGGUACCCUACUAGAAAGCACCUGCUAACCACGUGCCAGAAGCCUCGGUAAUACGUGGGGUGCAAGCGUUAUCCGGAUUUACUGGGCGUAAAGAGUAUCGUAGGCGGUUUGGUAAGUGCAUGGUUAAAGGCUCCGGCUCAACCGGAGACAUGCUGUGCAUACUGUCAGACUAGAGGGUUGUUGGGAGUGCCGGAAUUCUCGGUGGAGGGGUGAAAUCCGUUGAUAUCGAGAGGAACACCAAAGGCGAAGGCAGGCACUUAUGCAACAUCUGACGCUGAUGAACGAAAGCUAGGGUAGCGAAAGGGAUUAGAGACCCCUGUAGUCCUAGCCGUAAACGAUGGAUACUAGCUGGUCGUCCCCUCUUUUUAGGAGCAUUGAUCUCACUUUUAUAUAUAGUGGGAGAGUUCGCAGAAAGAGGGAAUGGCCGGCGUAAGCUAACGCGUUAAGUAUCCCGCCUGGGAAGUACGGCCGCAAGGCUAAAACUCAAAGGAAUUGACGGGGGAGCGCACAACCGGUGGAGCAUGUGGUUUAAUUCGAUACAAAGCGAAGGACCUCACCCAGGCUUGACAUAUAGCUGCAAAUCUUGUGAAAGCAGGAUCUUCUUCGAGAGUGCUAUACAGCUGUUGCAUGGCUGUCGUCAGUUCGUGUCGUGAGGCGUCCCUUUAAGUAGGGUAACGAACGCAACCCCUAUCUUGUGUUGUAUGUUCACAAGAGACUGCUCUUGAUAGUAUCAAGGGAGGAAGGAGGGGACGACGUCAAGUCAGCAUGACGCUUACGCCUGGGGCCACACACAUCCUACAAUGGGAAGGACAACGGGUAGCCAACCCGCAAGGGGGAGCCAAUCCCACAAACCUUUCCUCAGUUCAGAUUGAAGGCUGCAACUCGCCUUCAUGAAGUCGGAAUCGGUAGUAAUCGCAGGUCAGCAGACUGCGGUGAAUACGUUCUCGCUCCUUGUACACACCGCCCGUCAAGUGAGCAAAGUUGGCAGUACCUGAAGUCGGUCUCCCAAACCCGCAAGGGAUGGGUCCGCCUAAGGUAAGGUCGGCGAUGAGCGCUAAGUCGUAACAAGGUAACC
rnacentral:rRNA from 1 species